CCUACGGGGGGCUGCAGUGGGGAAUAUUGGACAAUGGGGGGAACCCUGAUCCAGCCAUGCCGCGUGUGUGAAGAAGGCCCUCGGGUUGUAAAGCACUUUCAGUGAGGAAGAACGCCUGGUGGUUAAUACCCAUCAGGAAAGACAUCACUCACAGAAGAAGCACCGGCUAACUCCGUGCCAGCAGCCGCGGUAAUACGGAGGGUGCGGGCGUUAAUCGGAAUUACUGGGCGUAAAGCGCGCGUAGGUGGCUUGAUAAGCCGGUUGUGAAAGCCCCGGGCUCAACCUGGGAACGGCAUCCGGAACUGUCAAGCUAAAGUGCAGGAGAGGAAGGUAGAAUUCCCGGUGUAGCGGUGAAAUGCGUAGAGAUCGGGAGGAAUACCAGUGGCGAAGGCGGCCUUCUGGACUGACACUGACACUGAGGUGCGAAAGCGUGGGUAGCAAACAGGAUUAGAUACCCCUGUAGUC
rnacentral:rRNA from 1 species